rnacentral:rRNA from 1 species
UACGUAGGCAGCAAGCGUUGUUCGGAGUUACUGGGCGUAAAGGGUGUGUAGGCGGUUCUUUAAGUUUGGUGUGAAAUCUCCCGGCUUAACCGGGAGGGUGCGCCGAAUACUGAGGGACUCGAGUGCGGGAGAGGAAAGUGGAAUUCCUGGUGUAGCGGUGAAAUGCGUAGAUAUCAGGAGGAACACCGGUGGUGUAGACGGCUUCUGGACCGUAACUGACGCUAAGACACGAAAGCGUGGGUAGCAAACAGG